GGAUUAGAUACCCUGGUAGUCCACGCUGUAAACGAUGAUCACUAGAUGUUGGUCUUGCUUAGCAAGAUCUGUAUCGUAGCUAACGCGUUAAGUGAUCCGCCUGGGGAGUACGGUCGCAAGAUUAAAACUCAAAGAAAUUGACGGGGGUCCGCACAAGCGGUGGAACAUGUGGUUUAAUUCGACACUCCGCGAGGAACCUUACCUAGACUUGACAUGCUUUUGACCGUUGUAGAAAUACAACUUUCCGGAUUUAUUCGGACAAUUGCACAGGUGCUGCAUGGCUGUCGUCAGCUCGUGCCG
rnacentral:rRNA from 1 species